rnacentral:rRNA from 1 species
GUCGAUGGACAACGGGUUGAUAUUCCCGUACCCGUGUGUGGGCGCCCGUGACGAAUCAGCGGUACUAACCACCCAAAACCGGAUCGAUCACUCCCCUUCGGGGGUGUGGAGUUCUGGGGCUGCGUGGGAACUUCGCUGGUAGUAGUCAAGCGAAGGGGUGACGCAGGAAGGUAGCCGUACCAGUCAGUGGUAACACUGGGGCAAGCCGGUAGGGAGAGCGAUAGGCAAAUCCGUCGCUCACUAAUCCUGAGAGGUGACGCAUAGCCGGUUGAGGCGAAUUCGGUGAUCCUCUGCUGCCAAGAAAAGCCUCUAGCGAGCACACACACGGCCCGUACCCCAAACCGACACAGGUGGUCAGGUAGAGCAUACCAAGGCGUACGAGAUAACUAUGGUUAAGGAACUCGGCAAAAUGCCCCCGUAACUUCGGGAGAAGGGGGACCGGAAUAUCGUGAACACCCUUGCGGUGGGAGCGGGAUCCGGUCGCAGAAACCAGUGAGGAGCGACUGUUUACUAAAAACACAGGUCCGUGCGAAGUCGCAAGACGAUGUAUACGGACUGACGCCUGCCCGGUGCUGGAAGGUUAAGAGGACCCGUUAACCCGCAAGGGUGAAGCGGAGAAUUUAAGCCCCAGUAAACGGCGGUGGUAACUAUAACCAUCCUAAGGUAGCGAAAUUCCUUGUCGGGUAAGUUCCGACCUGCACGAAUGGCGUAACGACUUCUCAACUGUCUCAACCAUAGACUCGGCGAAAUUGCACUACGAGUAAAGAUGCUCGUUACGCGCGGCAGGACGAAAAGACCCCGGGACCUUCACUACAACUUGGUAUUGAUGUUCGGUACGGUUUGUGUAGGAUAGGUGGGAGACUGUGAAACCUCGACGCCAGUUGGGGCGGAGUCAUUGUUGAAAUACCACUCUGAUCGUAUUGGGCAUCUAACCUCGAACCCUGAAUCGGGUUUAGGGACAGUGCCUGGCGGGUAGUUUAACUGGGGCGGUUGCCUCCUAAAAUGUAACGGAGGCGCCCAAAGGUUCCCUCAACCUGGACGGCAAUCAGGUGGCGAGUGUAAAUGCACAAGGGAGCUUGACUGCGAGACUUACAAGUCAAGCAGGGACGAAAGUCGGGAUUAGUGAUCCGGCACCCCCGAGUGGAAGGGGUGUCGCUCAACGGAUAAAAGGUACCCCGGGGAUAACAGGCUGAUCUUCCCCAAGAGUCCAUAUCGACGGGAUGGUUUGGCACCUCGAUGUCGGCUCGUCGCAUCCUGGGGCUGGAGCAGGUCCCAAGGGUUGGGCUGUUCGCCCAUUAAAGCGGCACGCGAGCUGGGUUUAGAACGUCGUGAGACAGUUCGGUCUCUAUCCGCCGCGCGCGUCAGAAACUUGAGGAAACCUGUCCCUAGUACGAGAGGACCGGGACGGACGAACCUCUGGUGCACCAGUUGUCCCGCCAGGGGCACCGCUGGAUAGCCACGUUCGGUCAGGAUAACCGCUGAAAGCAUCUAAGCGGGAAACCUUCUCCAAGAUCAGGUUUCUCACCCACUUGGUGGGAUAAGGCCCCCCGCAGAACACGGGUUCAAUAGGUCAGACCUGGAAGCUCAGUAAUGGGUGUAGGGAACUGGUGCUAACCGGCCGAAAACUUACAACACCC